rnacentral:tRNA from 1 species
GCUCUAAUAGCUUAAUAAUUAUAAAGCCUUGUCCUUGUAAGCCAAAGCCGGGAAUUCCCUUAGAGUA